rnacentral:lncRNA from 1 species
CUUCCGGGGGCGCCCGUUGGAGCCACAGCCGCGGCUCCUCUCAGGCCGCGUCCUCCAGCGGCGCGGUCGCGGGCGGGGACCAAUCUUGUCCCUGUCGAUCUCCUCCGCGCCUGUGCGCCCGUCCGGCGCUACUCUUUUCCUCUGUCAUGAGGCCACCGAGGUCCCGUGCCAGCCUCGGUGUCCCUGCCCUUGUCCCAGGCUCUCCUGUGCUCUGGGAGGCUGCGCAGUCCCAGUCCCGGAGGGGACGGAAUGACCUUCUGGCCCUCCGAGUCCCUGGAGUUGUCACCCGAAGACAGCGCUGGCUCCUCUCCAUCCCUGCGAGCACAGCGAGCGCAGACUGCAGCCAGGGGACUUGAGGAAAAAGCCGGGCUGGCGAGGUGACUGGCGAGAUGAGGCGCCUAGGAGGCCGUCACUGCUGAGCCUGGGAAUCCUCGCAACAGAGGGCCAGUGUCGGAGCCAGGAAGAGGGGGCAGUUCCACAGCAGAAGCCAGAGCACGGGAGAGAGCCGAGGAGGCCAGCGGCCAGCGCCGAAUGUGCUCUGAGUGCCGUCCGGCAGCACGGGUUUCCCCCCCGCCCUGUCCCAGCCUCUUCUCCCUAAGACGCCGAGUCAUUCUGCGUGUGCCUGUCCUCAGGCCUAGGCUCCAGCAGGCCCGGCUCCGGCAGGCCCCAUCUGUUGGCCUUGCAUUUUGGGGUGACACAGGGUAGGAGGGAGCGAGGUACGUGAUUCAGCUAGGCUCCCCACGUUCUGACUGGACAGUGUGUGCAGGUGAAGUGGCUCAAGGCAAUCCUGGGCUGGAUGGUGGAACACAAGUUGUAGCCCAGCAUCCGGGUCUAUUUGCUCACCACUUUGGACGUGGCCCUGAAAAAUCUCUCUUUUUUCCCUCCUGAAAAUCCUUUUUGUAACAGAGGGAGUUAGGAAGAGUACUAGUAGAACACCACCCCGUGGGACAGUGUUCUGACUUCUCCAACACCGGCCAAAGGCAGAUGCGGGUCUAGAAAAGAGCGCGGAGAGAUGUCUGGGCUUCUGGUGCACUCAGGAAUAAGUGCCACAGGGAGGCAGAGAGCCAGAGUGUGCUGUGGGGAGAGGAAGGGGCCCGUUUCCAUGGCAACACUAGAAAUGAGGCUUUGGACUAGCACCGGUCUCAGCCUAGGGGUCAAACUCAGUCAACCACAGGACCUGGUUUCCUCAACUCUAACAAAGAGGAUCCUUGAAUUGUGUGAGGGGUCUGUGACGAAGAGGCUCCAGGAGGCCAGAAGAGGUGCAAGGGCAAACGCGAGUACAGGCUCUCUCCUCGAGCGUGCUUGCUCGGAGUGAGCGCACGGCAGAAGAGAGGAUGCGUCUCACAUGGUGUGGAAGGUGUCAUGGCCUUGGCCAUGGUUAAACCGUGUCUCUACCACUUCCAACUUAUAUAGUAAUGCAUUAGCCAGUAGGUAAAUUAAGCCAGCACACACAUUACAUUGUGGGAAUGACCUAAUUGUUUUUCUGAAAACAAUUUUAUCAUUGG